rnacentral:rRNA from 1 species
CAGCCCCGUACACAAAAGCGCAUGUGCUGUGAGCUCGAUGAGUAGGGCGGGACACGUGGUAUCCUGUCUGAAUAUGGGGGGACCAUCCUCCAAGGCUAAAUACUCCUGACUGACCGAUAGUGAACCAGUACCGUGAGGGAAAGGCGAAAAGAACCCCGGCGAGGGGAGUGAAAAAGAACCUGAAACCGUGUACGUACAAGCAGUGGGAGCACAGGUUUACCUGUGUGACUGCGUACCUUUUGUAUAAUGGGUCAGCGACUUAUAUUCUGUAGCAAGGUUAACCGAAUAGGGGAGCCGGAGGGAAACCGAGUCUUAAUUGGGCGUUAAGUUGCAGGGUAUAGACCCGAAACCCGGUGAUCUAGCCAUGGGCAGGUUGAAGGUUGGGUAACACUAACUGGAGGACCGAACCGACUAAUGUUGAAAAAUUAGCGGAUGACCUGUGGCUGGGGGUGAAAGGCCAAUCAAACCGGGAGAUAGCUGGUUCUCCCCGAAAGCUAUUUAGGUAGCGCCUCGUGAAUUCAUCUCCGGGGGUAGAGCACUGUUUCGGCUAGGGGGCCAUCCCGGCUUACCAACCCGAUGCAAACUGCGAAUACCGGAGAAUGUUAUCACGGGAGACACACGGCGGGUGCUAACGUCCGUCGUGAAGAGGGAAACAACCCAGACCGCCAGCUAAGGUCCCAAAGUCAUGGUUAAGUGGGAAACGAUGUGGGAAGGCCCAGACAGCCAGGAUGUUGGCUUAGAAGCAGCCAUCAUUUAAAGAAAGCGUAAUAGCUCACUGGUCGAGUCGGCCUGCGCGGAAGAUGUAACGGGGCUAAACCAUGCACCGAAGCUGCGGCAGCGACGGUUGGGUAGGGGAGCGUUCUGUAAGCCUGUGAAGGUGGCCUGUGAGGGUUGCUGGAGGUAUCAGAAGUGCGAAUGCUGACAUAAGUAACGAUAAAGCGGGUGAAAAGCCCGCUCGCCGGAAGACCAAGGGUUCCUGUCCAACGUUAAUCGGGGCAGGGUGAGUCGACCCCUAAGGCGAGGCCGAAAGGCGUAGUCGAUGGGAAACGGGUUAAUAUUCCCGUACUUGGUGUUACUGCGAAGGGGGGACGGAGAAGGCUAUGUUGGCCGGGCGACGGUUGUCCCGGUUUAAGCGUGUAGGUGUGUGUUCCAGGUAAAUCCGGUUCACUUUAACACUGAGGCGUGAUGACGAGGCACUACGGUGCUGAAGUAACAAAUGCCCUGCUUCCAGGAAAAGCCUCUAAGCAUCAGGUAACAUCAAAUCGUACCCCAAACCGACACAGGUGGUCAGGUAGAGAAUACCAAGGCGCUUGAGAGAACUCGGGUGAAGGAACUAGGCAAAAUGGUGCCGUAACUUCGGGAGAAGGCACGCUGACACGUAGGUGAAGUGAUUUACUCACGGAGCUGAAGUCAGUCGAAGAUACCAGCUGGCUGCAACUGUUUAUUAAAAACACAGCACUGUGCAAACACGAAAGUGGACGUAUACGGUGUGACGCCUGCCCGGUGCCGGAAGGUUAAUUGAUGGGGUCAGCGCAAGCGAAGCUCCUGAUCGAAGCCCCGGUAAACGGCGGCCGUAACUAUAACGGUCCUAAGGUAGCGAAAUUCCUUGUCGGGUAAGUUCCGACCUGCACGAAUGGCGUAAUGAUGGCCAGGCUGUCUCCACCCGAGACUCAGUGAAAUUGAACUCGCUGUGAAGAUGCAGUGUACCCGCGGCAAGACGGAAAGACCCCGUGAACCUUUACUAUAGCUUGACACUGAACAUUGAGCCUUGAUGUGUAGGAUAGGUGGGAGGCUUUGAAGCGUGGACGCCAGUCUGCGUGGAGCCGACCUUGAAAUACCACCCUUUAAUGUUUGAUGUUCUAACGUGGACCCGUUACCCGGGUUGCGGACAGUGUCUGGUGGGUAGUUUGACUGGGGCGGUCUCCUCCUAAAGAGUAACGGAGGAGCACGAAGGUUGGCUAAUCCUGGUCGGACAUCAGGAGGUUAGUGCAAUGGCAUAAGCCAGCUUGACUGCGAGCGUGACGGCGCGAGCAGGUGCGAAAGCAGGUCAUAGUGAUCCGGUGGUUCUGAAUGGAAGGGCCAUCGCUCAACGGAUAAAAGGUACUCCGGGGAUAACAGGCUGAUACCGCCCAAGAGUUCAUAUCGACGGCGGUGUUUGGCACCUCGAUGUCGGCUCAUCACAUCCUGGGGCUGAAGUAGGUCCCAAGGGUAUGGCUGUUCGCCAUUUAAAGUGGUACGCGAGCUGGGUUUAGAACGUCGUGAGACAGUUCGGUCCCUAUCUGCCGUGGGCGCUGGAGAACUGAGGGGGGCUGCUCCUAGUACGAGAGGACCGGAGUGGACGCAUCACUGGUGUUCGGGUUGUCAUGCCAAUGGCACUGCCCGGUAGCUAAAUGCGGAAGAGAUAAGUGCUGAAAGCAUCUAAGCACGAAACUUGCCCCGAGAUGAGUUCUCCCUGAGACUUAAAGUCUCCUGAAGGAACGUUGAAGACGACGACGUUGAUAGGCCGGGUGUGUAAGCGCAGCGAUGCGUUGAGCUAACCGGUACUAAUGAACCGUGAGGCUUAACCUUACAACGCCGAAG